rnacentral:rRNA from 1 species
UACGAAGGGGGCUAGCGUUGCUCGGAAUGACUGGGCGUAAAGGGCGCGUAGGCGGUUUGUACAGUCAGGUGUGAAAUUCCCGGGCUCAACCUGGGGGCUGCACUUGAUACGUAUGAACUGGAGUGGGGAAGAGGGUCGUGGAAUUCCCAGUGUAGAGGUGAAAUUCGUAGAUAUUGGGAAGAACACCGGUGGCGAAGGCGGCGACCUGGUCCUUGACUGACGCUGAGGCGCGAAAGCGUGGGGAGCAAACGGG